GGGGUGAGGUAGAGACUCCAGCCCGAGGGCAGCAGAGGGACCCGGGCGUCGGGGCGAGCAGGUGUUGGGGAGGGCGGCGGGGCGCGCGGGCGCAGCGCGCGGGUGAGAUGUGGUCUAUAUUAGAGUAUCUAUAUAAAUAUAUAUUUCCCCGGUUUCUGUCCCUUUCCCCUGCCCCCUUUGCGACUAGGAUUGUACCCUCUCUGCCCCCGGCCCAGACCCAGCCCCUUCCCGAGUCCUUAGUGCAUGGAAUAAAGUGGUUAUUCAAUCCCCGUGUGUCCCCGAGCCAGGGGCCUGCCUUUAUCUCGGCGUCCACGCCCACUUCUGUCUCCCUUUCCUUCUGUUUCCCGCCCCUCCCCCCAGUCUUGCUCUCCAUGGCCCAAGCCCCGGGGCAGACAGGUAAGUAAAGAAGAGAGCAGAGCGGAGACUGAGGUUGGAGCUUGAAACCAGGUGGAAAACACUGAAAUAGGGUAGGGGGAGAAGGGGAUGGGAGCCUUUAAGAAAAAGUCGGAGAGAGAGGGGAGGGGGGGGGAAAAAAAAAAAAAACAAACCUGAAAUAAAAUCGACUCUGGUGGGAUUCGAACCCACAACCUUUGAAUCGCUCUUUCGUCACUAGAAGUCCAAUGCGCUAUCCAUUGCGCCACAGAGCCACCUGGCGGGCGGCGGCGUCUGACGGCUUACGGGCCUGCCUGGGAGAAGUAGCGGGACAAAAGCACGUGAGCCAGGUGGGAGUGCGGACGCGCACGGGUGGAAGAAACGGGGACAGAGAGCAACCGAAUGUGAGCGAGCACAGAGCUGCGGCUGCCCGCUUGGGGGAUGCUCCCGGCCCAGGCGCACCCCACUCCCAAAUGCGGCCCCAUCCAGGAAAAUAAACUUGUGUCGUUGUAAAACA